CAUGCACUGGUGGGGUCCCUCGGCCUGGCCUGUGCCCUCUCGCAAUCCGGGAUCCCUCAGGAGAUGUUGGAGAGCCAGUUUUGGUCCGAUCCCCACAGGCCAGGCCGAGGGACCCCACCGGUGCAUG
rnacentral:pre_miRNA from 1 species